rnacentral:rRNA from 1 species
GGCGAACGGGUGAGUAACGCUUCGGAAUCUGCCCAAUGGUGGGGAAUAACCAGCCGAAAGGUUGGCUAAUACCGCAUGAGCCCUACGGGGGAAAGCGGGGGAUCGCAAGACCUCGCGCCGAUGGAUGAGCCGAAGCCGGAUUAGCUAGUUGGUAGGGUAACGGCCUACCAAGGCGACGAUCCGUAGCUGGUCUGAGAGGACGACCAGCCACACUGGGACUGAGACACGGCCCAGACUCCAUACGGGAGGCAGCAGUGGGGAAUAUUGGACAAUGGGGGAAACCCUGAUCCAGCGACGCCGCGUGUGUGAAGAAGGCCUGCGGGUUGUAAAGCACUUUUAGUGGGGAUGAAAAGCUCAGGGCUAACACCUCUGGGUCUUGACCUAACCCACAGAAAAAGCACCGGCUAACUCUGUGCCAGCAGCCGCGG